UACGUAGGGUGCGAGCGUUAAUCGGAAUUACUGGGCGUAAAGCGUGCGCAGGCGGUCUGUUAAGACCGAUGUGAAAUCCCCGGGCUUAACCUGGGAACUGCAUUGGUGACUGGCAGGCUUUGAGUGUGGCAGAGGGAGGUAGAAUUCCAGGUGUAGCGGUGAAAUGCGUAGAUAUCUGGAGGAGUACCGGUGGCGAAGGCGGCAUCCUGGACCGAAACUGACGCUGAGGCGCGAAAGCUAGGGGAGCAAACGGG
rnacentral:rRNA from 1 species